UCUUAUCUUUUCUCUCUCCUCUUCUCCGUUCUUCUUCCCCUGUUCUUCUUCUGUUCGAGUUUUGAGUGAUGAAAUCGUGUUUGAGAAUCAAGGGAAGACGAUACAAAUCGAUCAAUGAGUGUUAAUGGUGAUGUUUGUUAUAAUAGAUAAUUUAGAUUCAAUGAAGUGGUGAAACAGAGAAUCAGAAUUAGGGUUUUUGGAUUUAGUUUUGAGGUUUGUGGAAUUGAGCAGUGUAUUGAGUUGCUGACAGAUGAAGGUUAAGAGGGUUGAUGAUUAAUUGGAUUUAUGAAGUCUUUUUAGUGCUUGAAUCAAGAACUAGAGUUUCAUAAGAAAUUCAUAGAAGAACCAGUAGAUGAAGUUGUUUCUUUAGGGGUUUGAUUUAAUGAAUUAGGGUUUGUAUGAAGAGUAAUUAGAAAUUGAAGAAGUCGGGGUUCUGAAGCUGAGAUCUAUUGAAGCUCAUGGAUGAAUCCGUUAACAGAGUAAGGGUUUGAUUGUGUUAGUGAAAAGGUGAUGAAGCUGUUUUUGGGGUGAAACUGAAUUAAGGUAAUCAUCUUCUCAUUUGAAUUAUCAUGUGUUGUUGAGGUUUAUGUUGUGCUGAACUUUAAGAAUGAUAUGUAUUAGAAUUUUGCAGGGGUUGAGCUUUAUGAAUUUAAAUGGAUAUGUUGGGUAUGUGCUUGAGCUGUAUAUUAGUUUGGUUUGUGCUAAAUCACAUGGAGAAGUAAAGUGGAAGCAAUGGUGAAGUGUUUGUGUAGAUGGUAGUAUUGAACUGGAGCUGAAUUCAAGAGCUGGUGGAUAUUGAAAUGGUUUUUCAGAUGAUUGUGUUUGUUAAGAAAGAGAAGUGGAGAUGAUGUUGAACUAGUUGAAUGAUUGUUAAGUUGCAGGGAAGAUUUGCGCCAGUAAUGAUAUGGGUUUGAUCAGAUUAUGGAUGAGAAUGAAGGUUCUGGGAUAAAAAUAUUGUUGUGUCUAAUGGAGCUGGUGGAGAAGGGUUUGAGUUAUGUCAGUAGGGUAAUGGGUUUACUUAUUAUUGUGAAAGUUUGGUGGUGAUGCUGUCAAGAUAUGGGAGAUGGAUUAUGAGUUUUGUACUUGAUCUAAACUGAGGUUGUUGAUUGAUGCAGUGAGUGUUUGAAGAUAUUGCAGAUGGACAGUGUUGUCUGAGUUGAAGCUUAGAUGUAAGAAUAACAGGAUUUGUGAAUUGUUACAGGCAUAGUGACUUAGGAGAAAAAGAGUAGUUGUAUUGUUAUUUAGCAGUGGCCUUAAUGGAAGCCUGCAACUGCAAAUCAAGUUUCAGAGACAGAUCAGAGUUGCGUAGCGAAAGCUUCGAGGAGUUGAGUUUAUUAGUUUGAUUAACUUCGGCUAUGUUAUUAUAUUCUAUGUUUUAUUUGUAAACCAAAUGACUAUUGUAUAUGUAUCAUUUGAGAGAAGUUCUUGUAUAUAUAUCAUUUUGAGCGGGGCUA